UACGGAGGGUGCGAGCGUUGUCCGGAAUCACUGGGCGUAAAGGGCGCGUAGGCGGCCUGAUAAGUAGGGGGUGAAAUCCUGCGGCUUAACCGCAGGGCUGCCUUCUAAACUGUCAGGCUCGAGCACAGUAGAGGCAGGUGGAAUUCCCGGUGUAGCGGUGGAAUGCGUAGAGAUCGGGAAGAACAUCAGUGGCGAAGGCGGCCUGCUGGGCUGUUGCUGACGCUGAGGCGCGACAGCGUGGGGAGCAAC
rnacentral:rRNA from 1 species